rnacentral:rRNA from 1 species
GAUGAACGCUGGCGGCGUGCCUAAUACAUGCAAGUCGAGCGAACAGACGAGGUGCUUGCUCCUCUGACGUUAGCGGCGGACGGGUGAGUAACACGUGGAUAACCUACCUAUAAGACUGGGAUAACUUCGGGAAACCGGAGCUAAUACCGGAUAAUAUAUUGAACCGCAUGGUUCAAUAGUGAAAGACGGUUUUGCUGUCACUUAUAGAUGGAUCCGCGCCGCAUUAGCUAGUUGGUAAGGUAACGGCUUACCAAGGCAACGAUGCGUAGCCGACCUGAGAGGGUGAUCGGCCACACUGGAACUGAGACACGGUCCAGACUCCUACGGGAGGCAGCAGUAGGGAAUCUUCCGAAAUGGGCGAAAGCCUGACGGAGCAACGCCGCGUGAGUGAUGAAGGUCUUCGGAUCGUAAAACUCUGUUAUUAGGGAAGAACAAAUGUGUAAGUAACUAUGCACGUCUUGACGGUACCUAAUCAGAAAGCCACGGCUAACUACGUG